rnacentral:rRNA from 1 species
CGGCAACAGCUCAAAUUUGAAAUCUGGCCCUUUCAGGGUCCGAGUUGUAAUUUGCAGAGGGUGCUUUGGCGUCGGCCGUGGUCUAAGUUCCUUGGAACAGGACGUCACAGAGGGUGAGAAUCCCGUACGUGGCCGCCGGUCUUCGCCGUGUAAAGCCCCUUCGAC